rnacentral:rRNA from 1 species
GACGAACGCUGGCGGCGUGCCUAACACAUGCAAGUCGAGCGAAUGAAGUUCCUUCGGGAACGGAUUUAGCGGCGGACGGGUGAGUAACACGUGGGCAACCUGCCUCAUAGAGGGGAAUAGCCUUCCGAAAGGGAGAUUAAUACCGCAUAAGAUUGUAGUACCGCAUGGUACAGCAAUUAAAGGAGCAAUCCGCUAUGAGAUGGGCCCGCGGCGCAUUAGCUAGUUGGUGAGGUAACGGCUCACCAAGGCGACGAUGCGUAGCCGACCUGAGAGGGUGAUCGGCCACAUUGGGACUGAGACACGGCCCAGACUCCUACGGGUGGCAG